CCAGCUCCAAUAGCGUAUAUUAAAGUUGUUGCAGUUAAAAAGCUCGUAGUUGGACUUCCGGGCCCGGUUCACUGGGUGGGGUGGCUUGCAUUCGUGUAGGUCGCUUUUUCUGCUCGACGGGCCCGCAUAUUUCCGAAGACCGCGCGUGCUCUUCACUGAGUUGCGUGUCGGGACUCGGGACGUUUACUUUGAAAAAAUUAGAGUGUUCAAAGCAGGCAGUCGCUUGAAUACAUUAGCAUGGAAUAAUGGAAUAGGACUUUGGUCUUAUUUUGUUGGUUUCUAGGACCGAAGUAAUGAUUAAUAGGGACAGUUGGGGGCAUUAGUAUUUAAUUGUCAGAGGUGAAAUUCUUGGAUUUAUGAAAGACUAACUUCUGCGAAAGCAUUUGCCAAGGAUGUUUUCA
rnacentral:rRNA from 1 species